UAAGCCCACAGACAUACCGCUGUGCCACUGGAGGUUUUCAACUUUGACUCCGGCUGUUUGUAUUUUUAUUUAAUCGUUGUUGAUUUUGUUCCGCCUGUGCUUGGAAAUAACGAUUAGUGUUCACGUCUUUUCUAAAUGAACUGUAGAGAAACCGACAUCACGCUCGAGAGAGAUCUGUUUUUGAAGAACGAUUCAGUUAUGUAAAUGCUGUAUAUGUAUAUUAUUUUAUUAUUUUCAGUGAAUUAUGGUCUAGAAAGCAAGCUUUAAUUUAUCAUUCAUACUUCAAACCACAUUCACGGUUAGUUAAGAUACUCACUGAUAAACAUAACUAUUUAAUAAAAUCAAUUUCUAGUGUUAAUGAUCACAGGAUCACGUGGAGAAACUGCAACGAAUUUAAAAAAAAAAGGCCUAAAACUCGAGCUAUUGAAUAGCUGACAAUUCUUCUUCAGGAGAAUAAAGUUUUCAAUGUUGAUGGUUCAAAAUUUUCCAAUAGGGGAAGCAGCUUACUCACCAUGGUAAUAUCUCAUGAUUACCAUAUAUAUCACCAUGGUAACAUCUUAUGAUAUAUAUAUAAAUACAUCACCAUGGUAACAUCUCAUGAUAUAUAUAUGGAUACAUACAUACAUUUAUAUGAUGCUCAUUUAUUUUGUAUUUUCAGUACUGAUGUAGAAACAGGCUAGAAAACACCAGAAAACAAUGAAUAAUAGUUGUUUUUUAGUUUACCCGCCAGGGUGAUAUCUUAAAGAGUGUUCAAAAUUGUUUUCAGACCACAUUUUUAGUGAGAGGUGACAAGUUUAUAUAACGCAUGUCUAAUCACUUGCCAUCGAAAGACAGAAUAACCUUAAUAGAUCAGUGGCACGCGCACGACGGUAUGUCUGCGGACUUACAACGCUAGAAACCGAAUUUCUAUACCCGUGGUGGGCAGAGUACAGACAACCCAUUGUGUAGCUUUGUGCUUAAACUACAAACAUUCAUGGAGAAUUUUCAUUAUUUGUUAAUAUGAUCGCACUUACAUACCACGGUUUCAAAUGGAAUUGUAGCAAAACAAAUGUUAUGUAAAACCUCGUAACCAGAUCAAUAGUUAAAAUAACUUACGACUUCAAUGAAGAAAAAAAAAACUUUUCUCAUUUUAAUCAAAUAUUUAAUCUCAAUUAUGGCACCGUUGUUCAAAUUAUUAUCAUUUUGAACUUUAAGAAAAAAUGUGAUUACAUAAAGAAAAACAAACUUAUAGCUCAGAGUUUUGUUGGUUUUUCAAUGCAUGGUAAUUUUAAAAUCUCAUUACAGAGAAAAUAAAACUUGCUGAAUAAAAUUAAUUUUAUAUCUGUAUAACAACUGUGCAUUAAUUUAAAAUGGUUCGUUUUUUUAUGGAAAGUUAUUCUUACUUGUCUGGGUCAAAGCAUGACGUACUAUCGGUAGGUAAUUUUACUGUUAGGUAACGUUAAGGAAGUCUUUCCUUACUUGUCUAGGUCAAGACUUGGUGUACUUAUUGGCAGAUAAGUUUACUGUUAGGUAACGUUAAGGAAGUCUUUCCUUACUUGUCUAGGUCAAGACUUGGUGUACUUAUUGGCAGGUAACGUUAAGGAAGUCUUUCCUUACUUGUCUAGGUCAAGACUUGUUGUACUUGUUGACAGGUAACGUUAAGGAAGUCUUUCCUUACUUGUCUAGGUCAAGACUUGGUGUACUUAUUGGCAGGUAAUUUUACUGUUAGGUAAAAGUCCUUCCUCACUUGUCUAGGUCAAGACUCUAAUGCCUGUGAUCAAUAAGUAGUUUUCCUGUUAAGUACCUUUAAAUAACUCUUGCCUAUUUUUUGUGUCCUUUUAUUUUUGUGUUCUCUACUUGUUUACAGAAAUUAUGUGCUUUGUUUGGUAACACUGUUAAUAUGUUAUAUAAAUAGCACCAAGGCAAAGGCUGGAAUUCUCGCGCUCACUUGAUCUGAUGUUUAACACGAAAAAAUACACAAUAUGAGUGUGUUCCAAUCCCGUCGACUUUCUUUACUGUUACUCUCGUGUUCCAGAUAAUAGUGCAGGGUGGGAAAAUAUCAAUAAUUUAAUAAUAGUACAGGGUGGAAUAAUUUAGAUUUCAAAUUUAAUUAUUGUACAGGUUGAAAUCAUUGGUUAAAGAUGACGGGAAAAAAAUAAUCAUGUAGACCCAAAUAAGCAUCGUGCAGGGUAGAACAUUUCUACAAAAUUAAUAAUUAAUUAACUCACCUGUAUGAUAAAAGCUUACGAUAUCCUAGUUCUUCAUUUAUCAGAUAACAAGAAGAAAAAAUCAGGUUGAUGUUUUGGAAAUGUGGAUUGUGAUAGAUCUCGAAUGACUUGCUCAUUGCACAAGUUAAGCCUCACAGGAUGUUGUUUAUUGUUUGAGAUGAAUAUAUUGUUGCUGUUAAACAAUAGUCAUUCUUUGUGUAUAUAUGUAAAUAUUAGUACCUUGUUACACCUAAGUUUUCUGUAAAGUGUUAAAUAGAUGUACCUUAGCUUAGAAAUAAAAACAUGUUUAACCAAUGUAAA